UAGCGAAGGGGGCUAGCGUUGCUCGGAAUCACUGGGCGUAAAGCGCACGUAGGCGGACUCUUAAGUCAGUAGGUGAAAUCCUGGAGCUCAACUCCAGAACUGCCUUCGAUACUGAGAGUCGUCGAGUCCGGGAGAGGUGAGUGGGAACUUGCGAGUGUAGAGGUGAAAUUCGUAGAUAUUCGCAAGAACACCAGCGGCGAAGGCGGCAUCCUGGACUGGUCCUGACACUCAGGAGCGAAAGCGUGGGGAGCGACUCCGGAUUAGAUACCCC
rnacentral:rRNA from 1 species